UACGAGGGGUGCAAGCGUUGCUCGGAAUUAUUGGGCGUAAAGAGUGUGUAGGCGGUGCUCUAAGUUUGGUGUGAAAUCUCCCGGCUCAACCGGGAGGCUGCAUCGAAUACUGGAAUGCUAGAGGGUGGGAGAGGUAAGCGGAAUUCCUGGUGUAGCGGUGAAAUGCGUAGAUAUCAGGAGGAACACCUGUGGUGUAGACAGCUUACUGGACCACUUCUGACGCUGAGACACGAAAGCGUGGGUAGCAAACAGG
rnacentral:rRNA from 1 species